UACGUAGGUGGCAAGCGAUACUCGGAAUCACUAGGCGUAAAGCGCAGGUAGGCGGUUUGGUAAGCCUUUUGUGAAAACUCCCGGCUUAACUGGGAGAGGCCAAGGGAAACUACCAGGCUAGAGUGUGGCAGAGGAAGCUGGAAUUCCCGGUGUAGCGGUGAAAUGCGUAGAUAUUGGGAGGAACACCAGUGGCGCAAGCGGCUAUCUGGACUGACAUUGACGCUGAGGCACGAAAGCGUGGGGAUCAAACAGG
rnacentral:rRNA from 1 species